UUGAACGUUACUCUGAACAUGUGUUGGUUGCGUUUGCUGUACGCUGCGCCGCGCCCUGUGUUUCUGUGCUUUUUUCGUGCAACGGACUCUUACAAAGACAAUUCUCGGUGGCAGGAAGGCUAGCCUAGGCCCAAGAGGACUAAAACCGACGGACAUUCGCGCGUCAUCUGCUCCAGACGGUGUCUGCUCUACUCGGGCUGGCCCCCUACACAGAGUCGGACAAGGUGCUGUUGCGGACGCCCCGCCAAGUUUAGUGGCCGGGUCCACCCCUGGAACAACGCUGGGCUGCUCUGGGCACCGUUACGCUAGGGCGAGCUGCUUUUUCAUACCGUGUGCUACGCUGCGCUCGUGGACGAUAGCGAUUUAAAAGUCUGUUUUGCGUGUCUAGAUAAAAUUACCCCUGGCGUUUCAUAUCUAUUCGCUCAGUUUGCCCUUGAUUAUGCUUCAUGGCAAGCUGUCUUCUGCUAAAUUGAACGCUUUCAAAACGCUGUCGUCUGCGAUCGCACUGUGUGCAUCGUCUGAUCACUAGCGUGUGAAAUUGAGGUCUCAAUAAAAAAGAUAAUGUUCCAGGUGAGUAUAUAAAGUGGAAAGGUUGGGGCUUUUGGUUGGGGGAAUAAAGAAUUUUCGAAAUGACUGGU